rnacentral:lncRNA from 1 species
ACGUGGCCAACCCAGACGAUGGAUUCGACCAAAAUAAUAUCAAAGCUUAUGUUAUGACUACUAGAAACUAUGACUUAAGUAGUAUUUGAGUAUAAGGUUGUGAUCACUAGAGACAUGAUAGUAUUAGUAAAAAUGAAUUUAGGGUUCUAGCUUAAAGUCAUUUGGUAUGGUGAUAAAUUUUAUACAUAAGAUUGGUAUACAAUGAGUACAGAGGGGUUGAAUGAUUUGUAUUUAUAUAUAUUCUUUAUCAUAAUAACUGGGGUUUGACAAAUGUGUUAAACGCAUUGACCCUAAACUAUUAUGUUAUAUUGGUAGGUUAUAUUGUGAUAUGUGUAUUUGUUUAAUCAUUAUUCAGAUAAUUUUGGAAUCUCAAAUUGUGUGG